rnacentral:rRNA from 1 species
CCUACGGGUGGCAGCAGUGAGGAAUAUUGGUCAAUGGACGCAAGUCUGAACCAGCCACGCCGCGUGCAGGAAGACGGCUCUAUGAGUUGUAAACUGCUUUUGUACGGGGGUAAACGCAGCUAUGUGUAUCUGUCUGAAAGUAUCGUACGAAUAAGGAUCGGCUAACUCCGUGCCAGCAGCCGCGGUAAUACGGAGGAUUCGAGCGUUAUCCGGAUUUAUUGGGUUUAAAGGGAGCGUAGGCGGUCGGAUAAGUUAGAGGUGAAAUCCCGAGGCUCAACUGCAGAAUUGCAUCUGAUACUGUUCGGCUAGAGAGUAGUAGCGGUAGGCGGAAUGUAUGGUGUAGCGGUGAAAUGCUUAGAGAUCAUGAAGAACACCGAUUGCGAAGGCAGCUUACCAGACUGCAACUGACGGUGAGGCACGAAAGCGUGGGGAGCAAACAGGAUUAGAUACCCCAGUAGUC